UGGUAGAGAUCCUAUGGCUCCACGGAUUCAUUUUUGAAUGAAAAAAAAAAAGGUUCCAUUCACAAUAGCAACAAUCACAACAACAACAAAAAAACAUAAAACAACUAGGAAUAACUGAUAAGAAAUGUGUAGAACUUAUAUGAAGAAAACUACAGAAUCAUAAUCAUACGUGAGUGGGAUAACAUUAGACUUGAAAUAAUGGAGAGGCUUAGCAUUGUCCUGAAUGAAAAGAGGGAAAACUAAAAGGAUGUCAGUUCUUCCCAAAUUAAAUGAAUAGACUUAACUCACUUCUACCCAAAAAUCCAAUUGGGAACAAAGCUGUGAAGAAUGGAGACCUAUUUUGAAAGCAGAAUGUAAGACACCAAUUUCCGCAGGCAUAUAAUAUGUAAUAUCUGCAGAUAUUAUAUAUAAAAGGGGAGAAAUAGAAUUCUUUAGAAUAUUUCAAAACAUAAAAAUCCAUGUCGGAGAAUCUCAGAGCUAAAGCAAAGAUAGCAAAAACCGGAUACAAAGAUUGUCUAAAGACAACCUAGAAAAUAAUCUUCCAAAAAUCUCUCAACGUAAUGCUAAAAGUGAACUCUUUCUUUGGCUUGAGUGAAUCACUGAAAAGCAAACUAAAACACUGAAUUCUGAAAGAAGAAAAAGAAAAAGAAAAAAGAAGAGCUUGCAAGAAUAUUGUGUAUCAGUUGUACACAAUUCAACGAUUUGAUCUUGCUUCCAUCUUAGCAACCCAGAUCUUCACCUCUCUCAGGAGUGGCCACUUGAAAAGCCAGAGACACACAGGGAGAACACCAGAUGAUGAUGAAUGCAGAGAUUGGAGUUAUGCUGCUGCAAGCCAAGGAAAGUCAAAAGUAGCCAGCAAAACACCAGAAGCAAAGAAGAAGCCAGGAAGAAUUCCCCUACAAGUUUUCCAGAGAGCAUGGCCUGGCCAACACCUUGAUUUUGGACUUCUAGGCUCUAGAAAUCUGAAAGAAUAAAUUUCUGUUGUUUUAAGGCA